UGGUCAAAAUCUAUAUGGCCUCUGGAUUGGACUGCGGCCGAUCAGGCUGUUGGUGAGGUAAUGGCCCACCAAACCUAUAACCGGUACGGGCUCUGAGAGGAGAAGCCCGGAGAUGGGCACUGAGACAAGGGCCCAGGCCCUAUGGGGCGCAGCAGGCGCGAAACCUUUGCAAUAGGCGAAAGCCUGACAAGGUUACUCUGAGGGAUUUCCGCUAAGGGGAUCUUUUGACACCUCUAAAAAUGGUGUAGAAUAAGGGGUGGGCAAGUCUGGUGUCAGCCGCCGCGGUAAUACCAGCACCCCGAGUGGUCGGGACGAUUAUUGGGCCUAAAGCAUCCGUAGCCGGUUUUACAAGUCUUCCGUUAAAUCCAGCCGCUCAACGGAUGGGCUGCGGAGGAUACUGCAAAACUAGGAGGCGGGAGAGGCAAGCGGUACUCUAGUGGGUAGGGGUAAAAUCCACUGAUCCAUUGAAGA
rnacentral:rRNA from 1 species